GGGGAAUAUUGCACAAUGGGCGCAAGCCUGAUGCAGCGACGCCGCGUGGGGGAUGACGGCCUUCGGGUUGUAAACUCCUUUCGCUAGGGACGAAGCUUUUUGUGACGGUACCUAGAUAAGAAGCACCGGCUAACUACGUGCCAGCAGCCGCGGUAAUACGUAGGGUGCGAGCGUUGUCCGGAAUUACUGGGCGUAAAGGGCUCGUAGGUGGUUUGUCGCGUCGUCUGUGAAAUUCCGGGGCUUAACUCCGGGCGUGCAGGCGAUACGGGCAUAACUUGAGUACUGUAGGGGUAACUGGAAUUCCUGGUGUAGCGGUGGAAUGCGCAGAUAUCAGGAGGAACACCGAUGGCGAAGGCAGGUUACUGGGCAGUUACUGACGCUGAGGAGCGAAAGCAUGGGUAGCGAACAGGAUUAGAUACCCUGGUAGUCCAUGCCGUAAACGGUGGGCGCUAGGUGUGAGGGUCUUUUCACGACUUUCGUGCCGUAGCUAACGCAUUAAGCGCCCCGCCUGGGGAGUACGGCCGCAAGGCUA
rnacentral:rRNA from 1 species